rnacentral:tRNA from 1 species
UGCCCCGUCGUAUAACGGUAAUACUACGGACUCUGAAUCCGUCAAUCGUGGUUCGAAUCCACGCGGGGCAUCCA